rnacentral:rRNA from 1 species
CCUACGGGAGGCAGCAGUGGGGAAUAUUGGUCAAUGGGCGCAAGCCUGACCCAGCUACGCCGCGUGAAGGAAGAAGGCCUUCCGGUUUUAAACUUCUUUUUAGAGGGAAGUGCAGAAGACGGUACCUCCUUAAUAAGCCACGGCUAACUACGUGCCAGCCGCCGCGGUAAUACGUAGGUGGCAAGCUUUGUCCGGAUUUACUGGGUGUAAAGGGCGUGUAGCCGGGCUUAUAAGUCAGAUGUGAAAGUCCGGGGCUCAACCCCGGACUUGCAUUUGAAACUGGUGGUCUUGAGUAUAGGAGAGGAAGGCGGAAUUCCUGGUGUAGCGGUGAAAUGCGUAGAUAUUAGGAAGAACACCAGUGGCGAAGGC